UCCGCGACCCAGUUCGCCGCUCCCUCUGCUGGAGCCUACCCCCACACCGACCUGGGCCGAGCCCAUUGGUGAGAAACCACUAGAUCCCGCCUGUCGGGGAUAUACCCCGCGGUAUGACCCGGCCGGAAGUAUGACCCGGCCGGACUUGGCGCUUCACCGUGACCCGCCAAAGGACUGGCGACUCACGGGUCUGGCGGCUCACUGUCAGAUGACUCACGAGCCUGACGACUCACGGAUGACCCCGACGGCGGGUCAGAUAGAAGACUAGGCCCAAGGCCCAGAUGGCCGGCUCAUAUGAUGGUGGGCCGGUUUAAGAAGAAAGGGAUGAAGAAUAUUUCCUUUACGAGGAAGCAAGACCCGGACUUGUAAUUAACUUGUAAGAAAAGAUAGACUAGUCCUAGUCCUACUAGGACUCCACAUGUAACCCGCCUCUCCAACUUAUAUAAGGAGGGGCAGGGCACCCCAAAGAGGGACGAGCAACAAGAAACAAUCUCUAGGGCUAGACACAAAGAGUCGGCUUACCGGCGACUCUCAUAAGCAUAAUGAGACCUAGCCUCAAACAACACGUAGGGUUGUUACCGGAUGAUGUUUCCCAGGGCCCGAAGCUGUCUAAACCCUUGUCUUGUGCGUUGAUCCGCCCUACGUCUCUCAUCCCAAUCAACCCCUCUCAAGCUACUACAUAGAUGCGCUGGCCUCACGACUAAUUCCUUACACCUAGGACAUCUGACGUGUUAAUUCCACGACAGUUGGCGCCCACCGUGGGGCUAGGCGCACGGUGGUGUUGAGUUCUUGGAGGGAUCUCUUCAGGGAUCGAAGAGCUCGCGAGUAGACAGAUGAAGGUUUAUGUUCCAGAAGAUUAAGAGUGCGUCGGAUGUACUAUCGCCGCCGCAAGUUAGAGAUGUGUUCGAGAUCAAGCAAUGCAAGGAUCACGUCACAGGGGCCAGCAGGAGUGCAAGAGAAAUUUUUUGCAGUAUGAUUGGGGAGCAGUUGAAUCGCAAGUCGCCAGGCCGUGUUUUCCUGUUACAACACGUUUUUUCUGACACACCCAGACCCGAGGUGUUUUGUCGCUACAGGCGACUUCCAAGUCAUAGAACGUCCAUCAAUCGUGCCAACUACUGCUGCAUGUUAUCGUACAAAGGACAAAACAGGAUCUAUGCUGCUCACGUGGGUUGAGUGCUAGUUUAAUUCUCAGAAUUGCUAUCUCGGAUAGCUAUACAUACAUGGAGGCAGGCUGUACAAGGAAAUAUGAGCAGAGCCGUCCAAUCAACAGCGCUGCACUCGAGAAAGAAAGAAAAGGGCGUGGGGUUGCCGAGUCAAAGUACGACCCGGAGAAAGACAGGGACGUGGCCGCAGAUUCGGCCCUGUCCUACGAUGCUCAAGCUUCUGCCUGUGAGCCAGCCGAGCGGACAUCUGACUCGCCCGCGCCAAAUCACCGCCUUCACCAUUAGCCGGGGCUGCCUCCGAUGUGCCUCCUCUGCCUAGGCCCACACCUCGACGCUGCUCCAUGGCUGUGCUGCUGCCUCGAGACGGCCAAGCUGCUGUUCGCUUGCACGCGUCGCCGUUGCUGCUCCUUCUACGAGCGCUACAGCUGCACCUCCACUAUGAUCUGCCGCUGCUGCUUUGUGCAUAAAGACCAAAAUCUAGUCAUCAACUACUACUCCAUCAUCCACUAUGACGCAUGAAGGCACUAGUCAAACUGAUGGGUCAAACCAAGCAUGACCCGGAGGAGACCUCGGUCGCAUGGAGUCGGCCUCGCCUCCUAGCGAUCAUCAAGAUAUCGUCGCGCCUCCGGACUGGGUCCUGCCGUCGCCGCUGUUGCACUUCUGAACCACCGCCGCACUGGGUCAUCUUCUACCACCGUCAUCGACCCUAGGUGCCGCCACUGCUGCUUUGAGCCGCCGGCCCCCAAGCCUCCCAAACCCCCGGCCUCCAAGUGUUGCGAGCCGCCCCGACCGAGUUUCCAUUGAGCCACCCCGGCCAAAGCGACUUCAUCUACGGCCUUCACACCUCUGAACCGGCCAAAGAGUAUACUACAAUUUGCACGCAGUGAAGAUUAUACAAACUGCGGCGAACUCUCGCAAGGCCUUUGAGAGGAUCAACACAAAAAUUGUUGGUUAUCUACGGAUGCCAUAUGGUGAUCAUCUGUCACCUAAAAUCAGGUGAUAUUUAUCUUACAUAUAUUGUUAGGUACAUGUUGAUUUCCUUCGACAAAAAACUACUCCGCCCUGUUGUAUGUUUUGUACGCAGGACAAUUGUGGUUUAUACCAUGGGUACGGAGCACGUACUUGCAACAUUGCGCUCGGUGUUCGUCCGUGCCUCGUUUCCCGGUAAAUGGACGUGCAAGCCGCCACCCUUGCGGCCCGGACUACUUCAACUCAUCGGAACCGUCCCUGUGAUUGACUCGCCCGUCCGCACCGCCUUACAACGCCGCAGACGACUUGCCCGUCCGCCCUCGCGGCCGGUUCACGCAUCCGCGCCGAAUUACAACGCGGAGGACAACUUGCUCGUCCGCACCGACUCACAAACACCGUGGCCGGUUUAUCUGUCUCCUCUCGCGGCCGAUUCACCCGUGAAGGAUUCCAGUUUCACCUAGGGAUCAUCAACUUCAUGGCGGAUUAUUUUCGGCCCAAACACAUCAGGUGAUAUCCAUCUAAAAUAUAUUUUUAGUACAUAUUAUUUUUGUCAAAGAAUAGUUUAUCUUUGCCUUCGUCUGCAAUAUUGCUUAUACAGGGCAAUUAUUUAUGACAAAAAGUGAUAUUAUACUGCAGAGAUGGAGGCACACCAACAUCUUUUGGCACAGGUGGUCUUCGUUAUUCAACGGACCCUCGCACCGGCUUACAACGCCGUGGCCGUCUCUCGCGACCGCGCCGGCUUACCACGCCGUGGCCGUCUCUCGCGACCACGCCGGCUUACAACAAGGAGGACAACUCACCCGUCCGCACCGGUUUACAAUGCCACGGCCGACUCAUCUGUCUGUGCCACCUCUGAUGUUACGGUCGUCUUUACCGUCCGUCUCUCGCGGCCUGAUCUACAUCAACACACCAGGCCGCACUUGUCUGGAUGAGUUGUUUAUUGAUUAUGAGCAAGUCACUACUUGGGAAGCCCGGUUUUCUUCCAACAAACUGGAGGCAAAUUAUCAUACAUUAUCAGCCGUCAUCUGCACUGGAUGGUUCAAUGGGCAGGCGCACGAGUCGCCGUCACUACAGUUUGGUUAAACUUCAAACAGCUAGUUGGAAGGAACCAUUGGCCGAGUUGCUGACACGGCUCAUACGGGAUCAUUUAUAACCCGCCGCAGUCACCUUAACCUUCUGUGGAUACACAUCGUGUUAUCAACACCAAUUAUAUACAAGUUAUGUCGGCUUAUAUCACGGUUAAAUAUGGAGAAUCUCAAGCCAACUCCUCGAGUCAUCUUGAGACUCGGGGGCUACAGUGGCAUGACUCGAGAACCCCGGGUCGUUGAAGGGAAUGAUAACCCGGUUUCGGAGGCUGCUACCAUAUUGAUGAAACUUUAAAGGCCGUCAGAAAAUUGCUGGUUCAAAUAAAGAUUCCGGUUUAAAAUCCGGUUCAAGAGAUAUCUUUCUCCCGCAAAGUUUUGAAGUUCUCAAAUCCGGUUCAAACGUCCGGCUCAAGGUAAAUUUAUAUCUUAUAAAGCUUUGAAGCUCUUAAUAUCCGGUUUACAAAUUUCCGGUUCAAAAAGAGGUUAUCUCUCGCAAAGUUCGAGUUCUCAGGAAAAAUUAAAGGGACCAAAGAGAGUCUGUUACAAAGCACAACUCAAAUAUAGGUACCCUGCUUUAAGGACCAUUGGGAGCUGAUCGUAUUUGAAUUUAGCCUAACCCUUUUGGUGUGACCCUGAUCGUAUUCGAAUCAGAGUCGUUAAAUAUUCUCAUGAUCACUAGGGGGCUUCCUGUUCAAACAUAUGUCGUAUUCGAACCAAAGAGAACAUAGCUGUCGAUACCCUUUUGAUUGGCACACUGCCGAGCUCAUUGGGGAGUUUCUUGGUCAUAUUUGAACCAUAGCUCAACCCCCUUUGGGAACCGACAUGGAUCGUAUUCGAAUCAGCGUCGUUAAACAACUCUCAAGGUCAUUUGGGGGCUUCCUAUUCAAACAUAGGUCGUACUCGAACCAAAGAGAACAUAGCUGUCGGUACCCUCUUGAUCGGCAACGCCAAAGCCACUGGGGGCUAUAUGAUCAUAUUCGAAUCUUAGCUUAACCCCUUUGGAACGGUUUUCUGAUCGUAUUCAAAUCAGAAGCCUCAAAAAUUUUGAAGUCUUUUUUUGCAAACAAUUUUUGGAUUUUAUUUGAAGCUCUUUUUCAUAUCUAAAGUGUAUAUGAGUGGUUGUUAUUUAACCCGGCUUGAUUUUCAAUGGUAAAUCGCCAGCUUAUGACAAUCAUCAUCUAUGUGGAAGCAUUGGCUUCAAAGGAUUGGGUUAUCACCCUUACUGCAUAGGUCAUAUAAACUGGCAGUACAAAAUCAAUAUCACAGUGGUUAUAUGUGAGAUAUUAUGACCCGCCCUGCGGUAAACCGCCAAGGUGUCUUGUGAUCUACUUGUGUGCAGGAUAAGACUACAUUUGGGUGGUUACCCGCCCUGGCUUUUGACGUUAAGUCGUCAGGGCAUAUGUUGUUUAAACUCUAUGCAGGAUUUGCAGAACUAUGACUUAUAUAAAGGUUUAAGUCCAAGCCCGUCAUCGAAAGAUUGACAUUGGUGUCUCAAAAGGGUUAUCAAUUCUUGAUUUUCUCGAAAGGCUAUAAAUAGUCGGGUUAUAAAAUUUCCGGCUUACAAUAGAGGCGUAAUAAAUCGCCAUCGGCCAAGAGCCGCCGGGUAUUUAAAACUCCGGAUUUACUUGUCAACAGAUAAGAAACUAAUAUUAUGGUUGAGGUUUUCAAAGUCGCUUCAGCGCAAUUAUUUUAUCAAUGGAUAUGAUUUAUUCUACAACGGAAGGAAUAGUUCCGAGUCGCUGCAGGCUUACAACCCGGCACUUGGGGGAUACAUUAUUCAAGUUGAGAUUACAUCAAAGAUGCAAGUCCCAUGUCACUGCUAGCAUGCACCAUGGCACUUGGGGGCUAAUGCAAAGUCAUUUUUUGCUCAACUUAUUGAAGACCCGACUCAUCACAUUCUAAAUGAGCCGGCCCUUGGGGGCUACCAAUUGGUCCUGUCAAAAAUUCAAGGUACACAAGCAUUAAUCCAUUAUAUUGAACGGUCCACUACUCAGUUGGUAGAGUACAAAGCUCUUAACCUUGUGGACGUGGGUUCAAGCCCCAUGGUGGAGAUUAUAUUAUAUGAUGUUAUUAUCAAUAAAUUAUAUACAAAGUCCCAGCUUAGUAUUAUCUUACUAAGCCGGCACAUGGGGGCUACGAGUGAUAUAUAUAAGGGGGAAAAUCUUCAAAAUUCUCAGUUUGGAGAAGAUCAAGUUGACCCGGUGUUUGCAACAAUCAUGAUCCGGUGUCACCAAAUAAUUAUGACCCGGCGUCAGUAAUAGUUAUGACCCGGUGCUAUCAAUAUUUACAAACCGGCAAUUUUGGUUAUGAUAAACCGGCAAUUUUUACCUCUUCAAGCCGGCUGAAAGUCAGAUGAGUAUUUCAAGACCAAUAUCUUUUAAAGCCGGUGCUUUGGAAACCGAUUCAAGUGGAUUAUCUCUUACAAUAUUUCUCAACAAAAGACCACUGUCAGCAAAUUGACACUGAAGCUGGCCUGUUGACCCGGAUUUUUUCAAAGGAAGUAUCUGGAUUUUUUGCAUUGGCAAAAUUUGAGCAUAUCCGCUAAAGAGAUUUGCUAUGAGAUUAUGGAUACAUAUCAAGAAGGAAGAUGACAAGGACUUAAGGAUGAUCAAGUGCCGGCUUACAAAGAAUAUUUAACCCGGAACACAACCUGUCAAAUUUGUUCUUGUGUUUAUAUUGCAGAUUAGUUUAACAUGGAUGAAUCCAAAUUAAACUGGGGGCUAAUGUCGGGGAUAUACCCCGCGGUAUGACCCGGCCGGACUUGGCGCUUCACCGUGACCCGCUAGAGGACUGGCGACUCACGGGUCUGGCGGCUCACUGUCAGACGACUCACGGAUGACCCCGACGGCGGGUCAGAUAGAAGACUAGGCCCAAGGCCCAGAUGGUCGGCUCAUAUGAUGGUGGGCCGGUUUAAGAAGAAAGGGAUGACGAAUAUUUCCUUUACGAGGAAGCAAGACCCGGACUUGUAAUUAACUUGUAAGAAAAGAUAGACUAGUCCUAGUCCUACUAGGACUCCACAUGUAACCCGCCUCUCCAACUUAUAUAAGGAGGGGUAGGGCACCCCAAAGAGGGACGAGCAACAAGAAACAAUCUCUAGGGCUAGACACAAAGAGUCGGCUUACCGGCGACUCUCAUAAGCAUAAUGACACCUAACCUCAAACGGCACGUAGGGUUGUUACCGGAUGAUGUUUCCCGGGGCCCGAAGCUGUCUAAACCCUUGUCUCGUGCGUUGAUCCGCCCUACGUCUCUCAUCCCAAUCAACCCCUCUCAAGCUACUACAUAGAUGCGCUGGCCUCACGACUAAAUCCUUACACCUAGGACAUCUGACGUGUUAAUUCCAGGACACCGCCCGUGCGCUUUUUAGCUAAAAAGCGCCCAUCCUAUUUUUUUCCCUGAAUUUGACCUAGUCCCAAGUAAUAAUAACAGCAUGUGUGCAACUUUGAUUGCUUGUAACUUUUUGCCUGUAGCUCCGUUUUGCAUCCAUGAUAUAUCAAAAUGUUCAUUGCGAGAUGCUCUUCAUUUCAAUCCAUUAUGCCAUGCUUGUUUGUGUUGAUGUUUAUGCCCUAAUCGUCGUUCCAAAAGUGUUAUAUGCUGUUAACUGUUGUCUGUUAUCAGAACUUGGUGAUUUGUCUUUUUCAUUGCAUUUUGUGUGUGCAUCCUAUGAGCAUGAGCCCUACAUGUGUUUUAGAAUACAUCAUUCCAUCUUAAAGUGGUGCUAGUCUUGUAUUUUUAGGAUCUCUUUGGUUACUAGCACAAGCAUGCAAAGUAGCCUCCGUGAUGUUGCUGAUUUCUGUGACUUGGUAAUUUCUGCCAAGUCCGAGUCUGUUAUAUUUUGUUGCCAUGUAAACCUGCUGCUACAAGUCAUUCUAUGCCUAAUCAGGAGAUGUUCACUAAAGAUGUUUUGUUAUACAUAUUAUGCUCUAUCGAUCCAUGCCCUUGUUUGCAUUUAUGGCAUGCUGUAGCUUGUUGUUAUCUCGCUCUACUUUUGCUAUAAAAUGUUCCUGGCAUAUUGUUUACUUGUUAAUCAAUUUUGCCAUGGUUGUUACUAGUGAUCCAUGUACCCUAUGACUAUGCUAUUGCCAUGCUUUGCUUACUAUUUAUGCCUUCUUGAUGUUGGUUGACUUCAAAUGCCAUAAAAUGUUCUGUGGUGAGUGGUUCAAGCUCACCAACAUGCCUACUUAUCGUUAUUUCUGCCAUGCUCUGUUUUUCUUCCAAGUCUGAAUCUGUUUAUGAAACUUGCUAUGUUUACAUGGGUGCCAUCAUAUCUUCUGUACCUUUUUGUCUCGUGAUCAGUAAGGGACUUUUAUUCUAUGCAAUUGGUAGAUUCAUGCCAUGCCUUUGUUUGCUAUGUUAUGUUCCUGCAGCAUGUUGUUUGAUAGCUCUAAACUUUGCAACCUGAUGUUAUUUCUCCCAUGUCCAGUAAUUUCUGCCAAGUCUGUGACCUGUUAUUAUUUGCAAUCUUGCCAUGUCCUUUUGAGCAUGUUCUUGUGAUUUCCGGAGAUAGCUCAGUGUUCAUAUUUUGUCAUGCUUUACCUGUACAUCAUGUCCCUUCCUUCUGUUUUCAUGUUGAUGUGCUGUGCAUGUUGGUUUGCUGCUUGUAAGAUGCCUAGUUGCUGUUUUGGACAGAUUGUUGAUAUAUCUUGUUUGGAGUGUAUGUGUUGCACCAUUGCUCCGUUUUGAGCAUGCUCUAUAUGAAACUUGCUUAGUUUUGCAUGUAGGUUCAUAUUACCUUGUUGUAUCCUUGUUUUGAGGUGUUUUCUUGAUGUUUGAAUGCAUUUUGCAUCAAUGCCAUGUUUAACUUGUUUUGCUCAUAUCUUCUAGGCCGUAGCUCAGAAUCUAAUGAACUUUAUAUGUAACUUGACUAGAAUUUCGUGUAGAUUAUCUUGGUGCAUCUUAACAUGCUGCUUAACAACUUGAACAUAAGGUUUAUUCAGAUCUGGACCAAUUUCGAAAUUUGCAUAUGAGGACUUACCGGAUUUGUUAUAUGUUGUUUCCGGCCUCAUUUAAACUUGCUUUGAUGUGUUGCUCUUGUAUGCAUCAUCUCUUGCCAUGUGUAGCUUCAUAUAGCCUUGUCAUGCAUCAUACUUUAUUGAGCUUCAUGCCUUGUUCAUGUGUGCUGUGUUUACCUUGUUGUGUGCUUCUUCUCGAUAGUUCCCGUGUCGUUGCGAUCGUGAGGAUUCGUUCGUCUUCGUGGCUUCAUCUUCUUCAUGGACUCGUUCUUCUUCCUAGAGGGAUUUCAGGUCAGAUGACCGUUACCUUGGAUCUCAUUACUAUCAUUGCCAUGCUAGUUGCUUCGUCCUAUCGCUGUGCUGCCCCACCUAUCACUUGCUCUUCGAGCCUCCCAAAUUGCCAUGAAACCACCUUUAACCUUUGUCACCCUUCCUAGCAAACCAUUGUUUGGCUAUGUUACCGCUUUGCUCAGCCCCUCUUAUAGCUUUGCUAGUUCCAGGUGAAGACGAAGAUUGCUCCAUGUCGGUUAAUGUUAUGUUGGGAUAUCACAAUAUAUCUUAUAUUAUUAAUGCAUCUAUAUACUUGGUAAAGGGUGGAAGGCUCGGCCUUAUGCCUAGUGUUUUGUUCCAGUCUUGCCGCCCUAGUUUUCGUCAUACCGGUGUUAUGUUCUUUGAUUUUGCGUCCCAUACGUGGUUGGGUGAUUUAUGGGACCCCCUUGACAGUUCGCUUUGAAUAAAACUCUUCCAGCAAGGCCCAACCUUGGUUUUACAUUUGCCUCACCUAGCCUUUUCCCCUUGGGAGUCGCGCUCUCGAGGGGCAUCUUUAUUUACCCCCCCGUGCCAGUGGUCCUUCAAGUGUUGGUCCAACCUGUUAGUCGCCGGUGGCCACCAGGGGCAACUCUGGGCUGGCCUACCGGAAGCUUGGACAAUCCGGUGUGCCCUGAGAACGAGAUAUGUGUAGCUCCUAUCAGGAUUUGUCGGCACAUUCGGGCGGCUUUGCUGGUAUUGUUUUACCAUUGUCGAAAUGUCUUGUAACCGGGAUUCCGAGACUGAUCGGGUCUUCCCGGGAGAAGGAAUAUCCUUUGUUGACUGUGAGAGCUUAUAAUGGGCUAAGUUGGGACACCCCUGCAGGGUAUAAACUUUCGAGAGCCGUGCCCGCGAUUAUAUGGCAGAUGGGAAUUUGUUAAUAUCCGGUUGUAGAGAACUUGACACUUGACUUAAAUAAAACGCAUCAACCGCGUGUGUAACCGUGAUGGUCUCUUUUCGGCGGAGUCCGGGAAGUGAACACGGUUUAUGGGUUAUGUUUGACGUAAGUAGGAGAUUCAGGAUCACUUCUUGAUCAUUGCUAGCUUCAUGACCGUUCCUUUGCUUCUCUUCUCGCUCUUAUUUACGUAUGUUAGCCACCAUACUUGCUUAGUCGCUGCUGCAACCUCACCACUUUACCCCUUCCUUACCCAUUAAGCUUUGCUAGUCUUGAUACCCAUGGUAAUGGGAUUGCUGAGUCCUCGUGGCUCACAGAUUACUACAACACCAGUUGGAGGUACAGGUUAUGCGAUGAUCAUGACGCGAGAGCGAUGUUACUUGUUUUGGAGUCCUUCUUCUGCUUCUUCUUUGAUCAGGGGAUAGGUUCCAGGUCGGCAGCAUGGGCUAGCAGGGUGGAUGUCGUUUGAGCUUCUGUUUGUGUUUCUUCCGUAGUCGGAUAUUGAUCUUAUGUAUGAUGUAUUGAUGUAUUCUUGCGGCAUUUGUAUGCCUAGUAUGUAUCCACAUCUACUAUGUAAUGUUGAUGUAAUGAUAUCCACCUUGCAUAAGCG
rnacentral:lncRNA from 1 species